rnacentral:rRNA from 1 species
AGAUUGAACGCUGGCGGCAUGCCUUACACAUGCAAGUCGAACGGCAGCACGGGAGCAAUCCUGGUGGCGAGUGGCGAACGGGUGAGUAAUACAUCGGAACGUGCCCAAUCGUGGGGGAUAACGCAGCGAAAGCUGUGCUAAUACCGCAUAAGAUCUACGGAUGAAAGCAGGGGAUCGCAAGACCUUGCGCGAAUGGAGCGGCCGAUGGCAGAUUAGGUAGUUGGUGAGGUAAAGGCUCACCAAGCCUUCGAUCUGUAGCUGGUCUGAGAGGACGACCAGCCACACUGGGACUGAGACACGGCCCAGACUCCUACGGGAGGCAGCAGUGGGGAAUUUUGGACAAGUGGGCGAAGCCUGAUCCAGCCAGUGCCGCGUGCGAGGAUGGAAACGGUCCG